rnacentral:tRNA from 1 species
GCCGAGGUAGCUCAGUCGGUUAGAGCAGCGGAAUCAUAAUCCGCGUGUCGGGGGUUCGAAUCCCUCCCUCGGCA